CAAGCUAAAGCUUUAGAGAAGUAUUUUAUUUACAUUAAAAGGGUUGUUAUGAUAAUAAUGUGGCUUGA
rnacentral:tRNA from 1 species